GGCGGUUGCCUUCACAUGCAAGUCGAACGGAAAUUAGCUUCGGCUAAUUUUAGUGGCGGACGGGUGAGUAACACGUGAGAAUUCGCCUUUAGGAGGGGGAUAACGGAUGGAAACAUUCGCUAAAACCCCAUAUGCCCCUGGGUGAAACAGAGGAGAUAAGUAAUACUGACUCACCUCUGCCUGAAGAGAAGCUCGCGGCUGAUUAGCUAGUUGGUAGGGUAAAGGCCUACCAAGGCGACGAUCAGUAGCUGGUCUGAGAGGACGAUCAGCCACACUGGAACUGAGACACGGUCCAGACUCCUACGGGAGGCAGCAGUGAGGAAUUUUCUGCAAUGGGCGAAAGCCUGACAGAGCAAUACCGCGUGAGGGAUGAAGACUUACUGAGUUGUAAACCUCGGUACCUUAAGGAAGAAGAUCUGACGGUACUUAAGGUGGAAAGCAUCGGCUAACUCCGUGCCAGCAGCCGCGGUAAU
rnacentral:rRNA from 1 species